CCUACGGGAGGCUGCAGUGGGGAAUAUUGGACAAUGGGGGGAACCCUGAUCCAGCCAUGCCGCGUGUGUGAAGAAGGCCCUCGGGUUGUAAAGCACUUUCAGUGAGGAAGAACGCCUGGUGGUUAAUACCCAUCAGGAAAGACAUCACUCACAGAAGAAGCACCGGCUAACUCCGUGCCAGCAGCCGAGGUAAUACGGAGGGUGCGAGCGUUAAUCGGAAUUACUGGGCGUAAAGCGCGCGUAGGUGGCUUGAUAAGCCGGUUGUGAAAGCCCCGGGCUCAACCUGGGAACGGCAUCCGGAACUGUCAAGCUAGAGUGCAGGAGAGGAAGGUAGAUUUCCCGGUGUAGCGGUGAAAUGCGUAGAGUUCGGUAGGAAUACCAGUGGCGAAGGCGGCCUUCUGGACUGACACUGACACUGAGGUGCGAAAGCGUGGGUAGCAAACAGGAUUAGAUACCCGGGUAGUC
rnacentral:rRNA from 1 species